rnacentral:rRNA from 1 species
UACGUAGGGUGCAAGCGUUAUCCGGAAUUAUUGGGCGUAAAGAGCUCGUAGGCGGUUUGUCGCGUCUGCUGUGAAAACUGGAGGCUCAACCUCCAGCCUGCAGUGGGUACGGGCAAACUAGAGUGCGGUAGGGGAGAUUGGAAUUCCUGGUGUAGCGGUGAAAUGUGUAGAGAUCGGGAGGAACACCGGUGGCGAAGGCGGGUCUCUGGGCAUCUCCUGACGCUGAGGCGCGAAAGCGUGGGGAGCAAACGGGG